ensembl:lncRNA
AAACAGAAAGGAGAGACUCUACAGGCCUGAUCCCGUUGUCUUGGGAGUGCUGUCUGCUUUAGCUGUUCUCUGCAUCCAUCCUUAGAAAUCUUGAACAUGAGGCCACCAGUUUGUGUGCGGGUGCAGUCAGGGUUGGGGGCUUUCUUUUUUUUGUUUUUUGAUAUCAUAUGAGUUCUUUUAUUUCUAUUUUCAUUUUUUAUUUUAAAUGAUUUUUAUUUUUCCCAUUACAGUUGAUUUAUAGUGUUUUUUCAGUUUUCUACUGUACAACAGAAUGACCCAGUCACACACAUAUGUAUUUAUAGAUAUAUUCUUUUUCUCACAUUAUCCUCCAUCAUGGUCCAUCAUAAGGGACUAGAUAUACUUCCCUGUGCUAUACAGCGGGAUCUAAUUGCUUAUCCGUUCCAAAGGCAAUAGUUUGCAUCUAUUAACCCCAGAUUCCCAGUCCAUCCCACUCCCUCCCCCUCCCUCUAGGCAACCACAAGUCUGUUCUCCAAGUGCAAGCGUUUCUUUUCUGUGGAAAGGCUCAUUUGUACCGUAUAUUAGAUUCCAGCGGUAAGUGAAAUCAUAUGGAGGGACUUUCUUUAGAUGAGACUCUUGGACCCAGGAGUCAACUCCUUGGAGUUUGGAGGCACAAGUAUUGGUCAGUACACUUGAGAAGGGCUUUUCCAGUGUGGCUGAAGGCUUUUGGGAGAUACUCUUUCCAGUUAAUCAAGUCCCCAGCUUGCAGAGUGUAGUGUGUGAGACCUUUGUCUCCCUUGGAGCCCUGUGAAAUGAGAAACUGCUCCAGGCAUGAGGGAGGAGUUAGGAUAUUUAGGAGUUUUUGAAACAAAGGGCAGGGAGCAGGAACAGAAGAGUCCUGGGGCUCUAGGAAAUCCCUCCUUUGAUAUGCACCUCUGCUGUCAGGGCCAGGAUCCUGAGUUUUCCCAGCCUGCAGGACUCACCAGCUCUCACCCUUGGAGGUGACUACUGCAUUUACAAAUGAUGGUGACAUUCUUUAUCCUUAACUACAGACCUGGCUGCAAUACCACCCAAGGAGGAAAAGGGAAUAUCAGGAUGUAAUAAGGUGAGGGGAGCAGUGUGCAGCAUCCACGCAUUUUAAAAAGUUUGCUGCUGAUCACCUGAAGGUGACUACCGGUCACAAGGAGCAGACAUCACCAUGAAGGAUUUUAGCGUUUUUUCUAGAUAUGAGGAGAUGGAAGAAUUGGGCACAUGAAAUCUUCUAAAAAUAUCUGACUAUCUGAAGACCUGUUCUUCCAGCUUUCCCAGAGCACAGAGUGCCUCCCUCCUGAUGUUUGCCCUGAGCUGGUCAGCAGCUGCAGUGGCUCAUAAUCUAAUCAGGUCGCAAACCAUUUGGUGUUGAGUGUAUACACCCUUCAGGAUUCAGAUUGGAUUGUUGGAAGGGUUGCUGUCCCCUCAGUUCAGGAGACAACUAGAACACUCCUGGUAGCCUGCAGUCUUGGAGACACAAACUUGACCAGAAAAUGAAGAAUUAGAGGCCCAAUCAAAAGAAUCACUAUGUCUAUGACGAAAGAGAUACCAGUAGAUUUAGCCAAUUGAACUAAGACUGGGGAUGAAGUCCUGUGUAGAAUUCCAGACAUCCCAGGCAAGAGGGUUAUUCAUGUCAUGGAACCAGCUUUCCUGUCGGUAUAUUUUCUGUAUAUCUUGUCCCACUCAUCUGGAGGUAUUUGUCCAUGCAUGUGUACCAGGAGGUGUUAGCAGUUGCGCAGAUACUGCCUUGUCCUGCCACGAGAUGAUCAAAGCCAUUCUGUUAUCCAUCCCUGCAUUGGCUAAGGAACCCACCACCACAACUUUUAACUGGUCUAAUCUAGAGGCUGUGGUUCUGGCCUAUUCCUCCGUUGGGGUGGUUAGAUUUGGAAGAGUGGCCUUGUAAGCACCCCUUCCCACACAGCUGCUAAUAACCCUAGCGUGAGGCCUCUUCCUACAGUUACCAGUCCCAAGGCUCUUUCCCCUUCUGUCUGCUUCCCUGGGUGAAAAAUACUUAUCACAGGGUCGUCGUGUCCCAGGGUACAUUGACUGCAUGAGCACAUGGCACCUUGGGACCCUCUGACCUGGUUGGAAUAAACUGGUCCUGGGUUUCCUUUAGGCAGUUGAUUCUCUGGGCCCCACAGAGAAACACAAAUCCUUCUGGUGUCCAUAUUGUCCUCUGUAUAUUUUUCCAGAGAGAAGAAAGGACUGGGGCCAAGGGUGAGUUCAUGGUGCACGCGUUACAGGAGGAGGAUAAUGGGUCCAGCUUGUAGGGCCUGGUCAGCCUGCAGGCAUUUUUUUUUUUUUUUUUUUCAGAGGACCGCCACACCAGCUUUUAUUUUUGGUGUGCUUGAACCAUUCUUUGAUGGGCUCUCAGUAGUCAGUGAAUUCUAAGGUCCUCCAAGAAAAGUGGGGGUACCCUUGGAAGGCUGGACCAUCUUUUGGGUUGGGUCAGUUCCUUUGCUGAUUCAUUUUAGGUUCCUCCUGUGGAAUGGUUACAACUUGUGAGGUUGUUUU